CCUGGCCCUCGGAAUGUCUGGAGCCCCUCACCCUCAGCUCUGCCCAGGAGGUGGUUUACGGGCAUAAAAGGUCUUCACACCCUCCUUUCAGGGGCCAUAGGUUGGAGAGACGUGAGUCCUCCUUGGCCGCCGGCAAUAAAGACCCUGCAAUUUGGUAU